AUCAGAGAGAAGCCAUGUAGCCCCACUGGAGCCAAAUGAAACUUUAUGAGCCCAGCUGCCUCCCAGGCCAAGAGCCAGGGCUAUGAGUCAGCCCACCCCAACAUCCACCUCAUCUAUGUACUGCUCGAGCGUGUGAAGGGGACAAACCUACAGAUCUAAAACUGCAGGAUCUCCAUGACACAGGACAACAGGAUAUCCAAGAACAGUCCCAGCGAGAGCCCAUUAAUGAAAGCACAGCAGAAGUCAGGGCUGGGAACGAGGACCAGUGACUCGGCUGUGAACUCUCAGAGGCAGCAAUGGAAGGAUGAAAGGGCACAUGGACACUCAAACCUCGGACGUCUUUAAACACUGAAGUGCAGAGAAAAACAUGAAAGUACAGGAAAGAAGUGGCAUGUUUGAUGGAGUUCUCUGAAGACGGGGUAUACAAACAAAGAAAACGGUCCAUAGGACUUGGCCUCAUCUGUUCUUUUGCGUUGUCAUUGCUGAUGUUUGUUGGACCCAAAGUUAGUAUCGACAGCAAGUGGCUGAUAAGAGGUGUGUGGUCCCAGCCUGGUUGGUAACUUUACCACAUCCAUUCAUGUGUAGUCAUUAAAGAUAAGCAGCCAAGAGUUUCUGUCAGGAAAAAAAAAUACAUGUCAUUGGGUAUGCUGCCUCAGGAAACUGUUGAAUACUCAGAUGGGAAAUCUUCAAACUUCUCACCCAGAAAUAAGUAUAGCUGUUAUA